rnacentral:rRNA from 1 species
GUGGUCGGUGUACAGGUGGUGCAUGGCUGUCGUCAGCUCGUGUCGUGAGAUGUUGGGUUAAGUCCCGCAACGAGCGCAACCCUUGUCUUAUGUUGCCAGCACGUGAUGGUGGGGACUCGUAAGAGACUGCCGGGGUCAACUCGGAGGAAGGUGGGGACGACGUCAAGUCAUCAUGCCCCUUAUGUCCAGGGCUUCACACAUGCUACAAUGGCCAGUACAGAGGGCUGCGAGACCGUGAGGUGGAGCGAAUCCCUUAAAAGCUAGGUCUCAGUUCGGAUCGGGGUCUGCAACUCGACCCCGUGAAGUCGGAGUCGCUAGUAAUCGCAGAUCAGCAACGCUGCGGUGAAUACGUUCCCGGGCCUU